rnacentral:SRP_RNA from 1 species
GCUGGGCAUGGUGGUGUGUGCCUGUAGUCCCAGCUACUCGGGAGGCUGAGGCAGGAGAAUCGCUUGAACCCGGGAGGUGGAGGUUGCAGUGAGCUGAGAUCGUACCACUGCACUCCAGCCUGGACAACAAAGCGAGAUCCUGUCUCAA